rnacentral:sRNA from 1 species
UACGAAAUGUAUUAUGAAGAGAUAUAUUCUCUUGUGGUGGAUGUAAUAUUUUUAAGUAUCUAAAGUCUGGCAAUAAGACACGGAACACUGGAUAUCACAUUUAUAUGAAAUUCUUGAAAGAUAUAAUCUCUGAAGGAUUAAUUAUAUGAGAAUUAUGUUCUCUAGAACUCUACUCGAUCGAAUAAAAAGAAAUAUGUAACAUGACAUAUAAU